GAUGAACGCUGGCGGCGUGCUUAACACAUGCAAGUCGAACGGUGAAGCUCCAGCUUGCUGGAGUGGAUCAGUGGCGAACGGGUGAGUAACACGUGAGCAACCUGCCCCUGACUCUGGGAUAACAGCCGGAAACGGCUGCUAAUACCGGAUAUGCACCAUGAACGCAUGUUCUGUGGUGGGAAAGAUUUUUGGGUUGGGGAUGGGCUCGCGGCCUAUCAGCUUGUUGGUGAGGUAAUGGCUCACCAAGGCGUCGACGGGUAGCCGGCCUGAGAGGGUGACCGGCCACACUGGGACUGAGACACGGCCCAGACUCCUAGGGGAGGCAGCAGUGGGGAAUAUUGCACAAUGGGCGAAAGCCUGAUGCAGCAACGCCGCGUGAGGGAUGACGGCUUUCGGGGUGUAAACCUCUUUUAGCAGGGAAGAAGCGAGAGUGACGGUACCUGCAGAAAAAGCGCCGGCUAACUACG
rnacentral:rRNA from 1 species